UGACAGGAUGAUAUCUAUUCUUUGAAUGUUCUUCGAUGACGGGCCUCGGCCUGCGAUGAGAAGCAUAAUAGAUGAACCCUUUAACUCUGAAAC
rnacentral:sRNA from 2 species